GAUGAACGCUGGCGGCGUGCUUAACACAUGCAAGUCGAACGAAGCACUUUACUUGAUUUCUUCGGAAUGAUUGUUCUGUGACUGAGUGGCGGACGGGUGAGUAACGCGUGGGUAACCUGCCUCAUACAGGGGGAUAACAGUUGGAAACGGCUGCUAAUACCGCAUAAGCGCACGGCAUCGCAUGAUGCAGUGUGAAAAACUCUGGUGGUAUGAGAUGGACCCGCGUUGGAUUAGCUAGUUGGUGAGGUAACGUCCCACCAAGGCGACCAUCCAUAGCCGAUCUGAGGAGACGACCGGCCACAUUGGGACUGAGACACGGCCCAAAACCCUACGAGAGGCAGCAGUGGGGAAUAUUGCACAAUGGGCGAAAGCCUGAUGCAGCGACGCCGCGUGAGCGAAGAAGUAUUUCGGUAUUUAAAGCUCUAUCAGCAGGAAAGAUAAUGACGGUACCUGGCUAAGAAGCACCGGCUAAAUACGUGCCAGCCGCCGCAGUAAUAC
rnacentral:rRNA from 1 species